UACAUAAAGAGAGACCUAAGGCAACACAACACUACAUAAAGAGAGACCUAAGGCAACACAACACUACAUAAAGAGAGACCUAAGACAACACAACAUAACAUGACAACAACACGGUAGCAACACAACAUGGUAGCAGCACAAAAUAGGGUACAAACAUUAUUGGACAGACAACAGCACAAAGGGCAAGAAGGUAGAGACAACAAUACAUCACAGACAACAGCACAAAGGACAAGAAGGUAGAGACAACAAUACAUCACAGACAACAGCACAAAGGACAAGAAGGUAGAGACAACAAUACAUCACAGACAACAGCACAAAGGACAAGAAGGUAGAGACAACAAUACAUCACAGACAACAGCACAAAGGACAAGAAGGUAGAGACAACAAUACAUCACAGACAACAGCACAAAGGACAAGAAGGUAGAGACAACAAUACAUCACAGACAACAGCACAAAGGGCAAGAAGGUAGAGACAACAAUACAUCACAGACAACAGCACAAAGGACAAGAAGGUAGAGACAACAAUACAUCACAGACAACAGCACAAAGGACAAGAAGGUAGAGACAACAAUACAUCACAGACAACAGCACAAAGGACAAGAAGGUAGAGACAACAAUACAUCACAGACAACAGCACAAAGGACAAGAAGGUAGACAACAAUACAUCACAGACAACAGCACAAAGGACAAGAAGGUAGAGACAACAAUACAUCACAGACAACAGCACAAAGGACAAGAAGGUAGAGACAACAAUACAUCACAGACAACAGCACAAAGGACAAGAAGGUAGAGACAACAAUACAUCACAGACAACAGCACAAAGGACAAGAAGGGAGAGACAACAAUACAUCACAGACAACAGCACAAAGGACAAGAAGGUAGAGACAACAAUACAUCACAGACAACAGCACAAAGGGCAAGAAGGUAGAGACAACAAUACAUCACAGACAACAGCACAAAGGACAAGAAGGUAGAGACAACAAUACAUCACAGACAACAGCACAAAGGACAAGAAGGUAGACAACAAUACAUCACAGACAACAGCACAAAGGGCAAGAAGGUAGAGACAACAAUACAUCACAGACAACAGCACAAAGGACAAGAAGGGAGAGACAACAAUACAUCACAGACAACAGCACAAAGGACAAGAAGGUAGAGACAACAAUACAUCACAGACAACAGCACAAAGGACAAGAAGGUAGAGACAACAAUACAUCACAGACAACAGCACAAAGGGCAAGAAGGUAGAGACAACAAU